UCCCUGAUAGCUCAGUUGGUAAAGAAUCUGCCUGCAAUGCAGGAGACCCGGGUUUGAUUCCUGGGUUGGGAA
rnacentral:tRNA from 1 species